CCGUGGCUGAAGCAACAAAGGAAGAACCACAGUGGGAUGGCAUGUGAGUUGGAGCCAAUUAAGCCAUCGCCAGUAUUAGAGAGUUAUCGCAACAAGUGUGAGUUUACCAUCGGCAAGAGUGUAGAUGGCAUCGAUAACACUGUUGGUUUCCGGAUUG
rnacentral:lncRNA from 1 species